rfam:Aeromicrobium sp. Root472D3 contig_2, whole genome shotgun sequence.
GGGGCUGAUCGGUUUCGACUAAGGUCGUUCGAUUCAGGUGAAGCGGGUAGAGGAUCCAGGGUUAUCUCUCAAACGAUCUCUGGAAACCAACAAGUGCCGAUUCAAAGCGCACUGACUUCGCCCUCGCUGCUUAAGCGAUAGGUGAAGGGCUGGCCCGGGGGAGCUUCCGCUCCGGAUCGCCAGUCUCAUUUAGGAGGCUUGCUGGUCACACGGCGUCACAGCGUGUGAUCGGGACUUUUCUGUGACUGAGCCUGUCGGCGACGCGUCUGUUCGAGCGCCGGGGCUGAGAAAAGCGACCAGACAGACUGCACCCGGAGAAGCCCUGACUCAGCGCCGUAGGACCGGGGUUCGAUUCCCCGCAGCUCCACUG